rnacentral:rRNA from 1 species
AACGAACGCUGGCGGCAGGCCUAACACAUGCAAGUCGAACGAAGUCUUCGGACUUAGUGGCGCACGGGUGAGUAACACGUGGGAAUAUACCUUACGCUGGGGGAUAACAUCGGGAAACUGAUGCUAAUACCGCAUACGCCCUUCGGGGGAAAGAUUUAUCGGCGAAAGAUUAGCCCGCGUCCGCUUAACUAGUUGGUGAGGUAAUGGCCCACCAAGGCUCCGAUCGGUAGCUGGUCUGAGAGGAUGACCAGCCACACUGGGACUGAGACACGGCCCAGACUCCUACGGGAGGCAGCAGUGGGGAAUAUUGGACAAUGGGCGCAAGCCUGAUCCAGCCAUGCCGCGUGAGUGAUGAAGGCCUUAGGGUUGUAAAGCUCUUUCACCCACGACGAUGAUGACGGUAGUGGGAGAAGAAGCCCCGGCUAACUUCGUG